rnacentral:rRNA from 1 species
CAUUAACGUAUAAUCCGACGGGGUUCGGUGCGCCCCGCUCCGGCCCUCGCGGGUCGUGCAGCGGGCGUCCGUCCCUGUUCACCCUUCACAAACCCCACUGUGCACCUUCACGGCAGAGGGCCUUGCGCCCAAAGCCGCAUACCAAUAAACUCCGAGUCUCAAAGAAUGUCGAGCGGACCUCGUGCCGCCUCUAAUUUGUAACAACUUUCAACAACGGAUCUCUUGGCUCUCGCAUCGAUGAAGAACGCAGCGAAAUGCGAUAAGUAAUGUGAAUUGCAGAAUUCAGUGAAUCAUCGAAUCUUUGAACGCACCUUGCGCUCCUUGGUAUUCCGAGGAGCAUGCCUGUUUGAGUGUCUUGAAGUCAUCAACCCCUCCCGUUUUGCGCGGGCGGGGUUGGAGCUGGGGGUUUGCCGCUGCGAGGCGGCUCCCCUCAAAUGCAUCGGUUGGGCCUGUGGGUCGAACUCGACUGGGCGUUGUAUCAUCCUCGCUCUACCGAGAAGUUCCCCUCCUGCGCCCAAUCCCGACCUGCCUUUGGAGCGGCGGUCAAGCUAAACUUUGAAAUCUGACCUCAAAUCAGGUAGGACUACCCGCUGAACUUAAGCAUAUC